GACGAACGCUGGCGGCGUGCUUAACACAUGCAAGUCGAACGGAAAGGCCCUGCUUGUGUGUGGUGCUCGAGUGGCGAACGGGUGAGUAACACGUGAGUAACCUGCCCUUUACUUUGGGAUAACUUCAGGAAACUGGGGCUAAUACCGGAUAGGAGCUCCUGCUGCAUGGUGGGGGUUGGAAAGUUUCGGCGGUUGGGGAUGGACUCGCGGCUUAUCAGCUUGUUGGUGGGGUAGUGGCUUACCCAGGCUUUGACGGGUAGCCGGCCUGAGUGGGUGAGCGGCGACAUUGGGACUGAGAUACGGCACAGACGCCGACGGGAGGCAGCAGUGGGGAAUAUUGCACAAUGGGCGGAAGCCUGAUGCAGCAACGCCGCGUGCGGGAUGACGGCCUUCGGGUUGUAAACCGCUUUCGCCUGUGACGAAGCGUGAGUGACGGUAAUGGGUAAAGAAGCACCGGCUAACUACGUG
rnacentral:rRNA from 1 species